rnacentral:rRNA from 1 species
UAAGGAAUAUUGGGCAAUGGACGCAAGUCUGACCCAGCCAUGCCGCGUGAAGGAUGAAUGUCCUAUGGAUUGUAAACUUCUUUUAUGCAGGAAAAAUAUCCUGGUCGAGCACCGGGACUGAUGGUACUGUAUGAGUAAGCAUCGGCUAACUCCGUGCCAGCAGCCGCGGUAAUACGGAGGAUGCAAGCGUUAUCCGGAUUCAUUGGGUUUAAAGGGUGCGCAGGCGGAAUGAUAAGUCAGUGGUGAAAUCUCCCGGCUCAACCGGGAAACCGCCAUUGAUACUGUCAUUCUUGAGUACAGUUGAAGUGGGCGGAAUGUGUCAUGUAGCGGUGAAAUGCUUAGAUAUGACACAGAACACCGAUAGCGAAGGCAGCUCACUAAGCUGUAACUGACGCUCAUGCACGAAAGCGUGGAGAUCAAACAG